UGAAGGCUUAUACAAAAUAGUUUCCUGCAAACUCAAGUGGCUGGGAAGCCCAGCUGAAGGUUACUUCUACCCCAAGGCCAUGUCAGCAGAAAGUGGCCAACAGGACUUGGGCCUGAAAAAGCUCAGACUGAAUUUUAGGAGUGACAUCUGAAACUGCUGGUUUCUCACAAGGAAUAAAAGCUGUCUGGGAAGCUGGAGAGGCAGUGUGCUGUCUGGAGCAGGGACUUGCAAAUGGGAACAGUGAAGAGAGACAGCAUCUCCUUCCUCUGAAGAUUCUGUUCAGAAUGGAUAAAGGUUCAGCAUCCUCCCUGGAUGGGGCAGCUUAGCAGGGACUUGAAAGGCCACAUGCUUGCAAUAACAGAAGACUUGUAAGGAAAGGAAUCAGACCUAUGGGAUACAGCAAGGUGUCUUUCCACAAACUAAGAAGAGAAACCUCUCCAGGAACCCCAUCAGUUGGCACCUUGAUCUUGGACUUUUCAGUCUUCAGAACUGUGAGGAAAUGUCUGUUGCUGAAACCAUCCAGUCCAUGGUGUUUUUGCUGCAGCAGCCCAAACUAUAGCUCAAAAUAAAAAGGGAAGUCAGAUUAUGUGGGCUAAACUAUGCUUCUACUUUCUCUCCAACAAGAGAAAGUGAGCAAAGAAUGGAGACUUCAGGAGGUUAGGACUACUGCAGCGACUAUGGUCCUUUGGUCAAGGAACCCAAGGAUGACAUUGAGAUAGAGAUACCAACCAGAUCAGCAGUUCUCAAAUGAGAGAGGCAACCUCACAUCACCCUCAACCCCAAUAGACUUCUCCUAUCCCUGCUGUUAGCCAAGUCUUCCCUUCUGCCCAGAGAGCUCUCAGCCUUCUCUGUGUUCUACACAGCCUUUAAAACCAAGUUCAAGUUCCAACUCUUCGACAAAGCCUAACAUUGAUCUCAUCUUUCUCAGAAUUCCAUCGAUACACAUGAUGUAUACCAUUUGCUUACUAUCCUCAUAUGAAACGUGGUGUGACAGGCAGCAUUGAAUUUGCAGUAAUAUCUGGAUUCCACUGGAGAGUCACUCCUCACUAGCUAUGUCAACCAGAGUGGAUUAUUUAGCAUCCCGAAGCCUCAGUUUCCUGAUUUGCAAAAUGGGAAAAAUGAGAGGAUUCAAAGCCUCUAUCCUGAGGACAUAGAGCAAUGGGAACUCGCAUAUAUUAUUGGUUGGGUGUAAAUUGAUCCAAGCCCUUUGAAAACCAUUUGCUAGUGUCUCCUAAAGUUAAAUCUAUGCCUGUUCUAUGAGCUAGCAAUUCCACUCCUAGGUAUAUAACCAACAGAUAUGAGCGCUUAAGGCUGGGCGCAGUGGCUCACAC
rnacentral:lncRNA from 1 species